rnacentral:rRNA from 1 species
GAUGAACGCUAGCGGGAGGCCUAACACAUGCAAGCCGAGCGGUAUUGUUUCUUCGGAAAUGAGAGAGCGGCGUACGGGUGCGGAACACGUGUGCAACCUGCCUUUAUCUGGGGGAUAGCCUUUCGAAAGGAAGAUUAAUACUCCAUAAUAUCUUGAACGGCAUCGUUUAAUAUUGAAAGCUCCGGCGGAUAGAGAUGGGCACGCGCAGGAUUAGCUAGUUGGUGAGGUAACGGCUCACCAAGGCGAUGAUCUUUAGGGGGCCUGAGAGGGUGAUCCCCCGCACUGGUACUGAGACACGGACCAGACUCCUACGGGAGGCAGCAGUGAGGAAUAUUGGUCAAUGGGUGCAAGCCUGAACCAGCCAUCCCGCGUGAAGGACGACUGCCCUAUGGGUUGUAAACUUCUUUUGUAUAGGGAUAAACCUACCCUCGUGAGGGUAGCUGAAGGUACUAUACGAAUAAGCACCGGCUAACUCCGUGCCAGCCGCCGCCGUAAGAC